rnacentral:rRNA from 1 species
GAUGAACGCUAGCGGCAGGCUUAAUACAUGCAAGUCGAGGGGCAGCAGUUUUGUAGCAAUACAGAAGCUGGCGACCGGCAAACGGGUGCGGAACACGUACGCAACCUUCCUCUAACUGGAAGAUAGCCCACCGAAAGGUGGAUUAAUAUUCCAUAGUAUAUUGAAAAGGCAUCUUUUUGAUAUUAAAGCUCCGGCGGUUAGAGAUGGGCGUGCGUCUGAUUAGGUAGUUGGCGGGGUAACGGCCCACCAAGCCUACGAUCAGUAGCUGAUGUGAGAGCAUGAUCAGCCACACGAGCACUGAGACACGGGCCCGACUCCUACGGGAGGCAGCAGUAAGGAAUAUUAGUCAAUGGACGCAAGUCUGAACCAGCCAUGCCGCGUGGAGGAUGAAGGCCCUCUGGGUUGUAAACUUCUUUUCUUUGGGACGAAACCCCUGUUUCUACGGGGACUGACGGUACCAGAGGAAUAAGCACCGGCUAACUCCGUGCCAGCCGCCGCUGUAACAC